AUUGAACGCUGGCGGCAGGCCUAACACAUGCAAGUCGAGCGAGCGGCGGACGGGUGAGUAAUGCCUGGGAAUUGCCCAGUCGAGGGGGAUAACAGUUGGAAACGACUGCUAAUACCGCAUACGAUUGGAUUGCCACGGUGGGAUUAGCUAGUUGGGGAGGUAAUGGCCCACCAAGGCGACGAUCCCUCUCUGGGCUGAGAGGAUGAUCAGCAACACUGUAGCUGAGACCCGGUCCAGACUCCUACGGGAGGCAGCAGUGGGGAAUAUUGCACAAGGGGAGAAACCCUGAUGCAGCCAUGCCGCGUGUGUGAAGAAGGCCUUCGGGUUGUAAAGCACUUUCAGCGAGGAGGCGUUACUCGCAGAUGAAGCACCGGCUAACUCCGUGCCAGCAGCCGCGGUAAUUC
rnacentral:rRNA from 1 species